rnacentral:rRNA from 1 species
GUCGAGAAUCUUCGGCAAUGGGCGAAAGCCUGACCGAGCGACGCCGCGUGGAGGAUGAAGGCCUUCGGGUUGUAAACUCCUGUCAGGUGUUACGAAACACCCGGAUGGAAAUACUGUCCGGGUUUGACGAAAGCACCAGAGGAAGCUCCGGCUAACUACGUGCCAGCAGCCGCGGUAAGACGUAGGGAGCGAACGUUGUUCGGAAUCACUGGGCAUAAAGGGUGCGUAGGCGGUCUGGGAAGUGGAGUGUGAAAGCCCUCGGCUUAACCGAGGAAUUGCGGUCCAAACUGCCAGACUUGAGGGGAGAAGAGGAGAGCGGAACUCUUGGUGUAGCGGUGAAAUGCAUAGAUAUCAAGAGGAACGCCGGUGGCGAAGGCGGCUCUCUGGGCUCCUCCUGACGCUGAGGCACGAAAGCUAGGGGAGCAAACGGGAUUAGAAACCCUUGUAGUCC